GUAUGCCCUAUAGAGAGAAGCACCCAUCUUCCCCCUAAAAGCAAAUGAAACAUUAAAAAAAGCAUUGUAAAGUUUGUAGAAACUACCACAAUACCCGCCAAUGACCUGUGGAAUUUGAGACUUUGCAGUUGAUGAACCUUUUCAAUAUGCUGAAUGUAUUAAAAUCAGAGGACACUAAUUUGCAGAUUAUGGUCGCUCUCGCACCUGAUCCGUCGCGUUUAUUGUAGUUUUGAAUAAGUUUGAAGCAAGCUGGGCUGCUGGGCAUUGGCGAUAUUUACAUUUGGGAGGGUCGCGCCUAAACGAAUGUUCUGCGGCCAACCUCAGUGGAAGCCGAUAAUAGGUAUGCAAUUAAUUAAUCAUUUUUAGUGAUAACUUCACAAACUACCAUAUAGAGUUAUGUACUUGUGUCAUAUUGUGGUUAUAUAAAACUAUAAUUUUUAGUGAUAAUUUCACAAUUAGGUUUAAUCUAUACUAUAUAUCAUAUUUGUUAACUGCAUUUUAUUUUAUCUUUUUACAAAACAA